rnacentral:rRNA from 1 species
UUUCGCAAUGCCCGAAAGGGUGACGAAGCGACGCCGCGUGAGUGAGGAAGGCCUUCGGGUUGUAAAGCUCUGUCAGGAGUUAAGAAAUAUAAGUGUGUUAAUACCACAUUUAUUUGACGAAGGCUCCAAAGGAAGCCACGGCUAACUCUGUGCCAGCAGCCGCGGUAAUACAGAGGUGGCAAGCGUUGUUCGGAAUUAUUGGGCGUAAAGAGCACGUAGGUGGGUUUGUAAGUCAGAUGUGAAAGCCUUCUGUUCAACGGAAGAAUUGCAUCUGAAACUGCGAGUCUUGAGUGUAGGAGGGGAGAGUGGAACUUCUGGUGGAGCGGUGAAAUGCGUAGAUAUCAGAAGGAACGCCGGCGGCGAAAGCGAUUCUCUGGCCUAUUACUGACACUCAGUGUGCGAAAGCUAGGGGAGCAAACGGGAUUAGAUACCCCGGUAGUCCUAGCUGUAAACGAUGGGCACUAAGUAGAGGGGUUUUA